ACAUGCCUACAACUUAGCGUUAAUGCAUAGGAUCCCAUUAGAAGUCUGUAGUUAAGCACGCUCAGUCUAGAGUAGUACUGGGAUGGGUGACCACUUGGGAAGUCCUAGUAUUUUACAUGCC
rfam:Picea glauca, whole genome shotgun sequence.